rnacentral:lncRNA from 7 species
UUUCCAUACAGAAACUUUGUGCCAUUGUUAGACCACUUCUGAAAUACUAAUUCCAGUAUCGGCUCUGGAACAAGUGAAAGAACUUUCCAAGGAAAAGAGAGAGGACAUGGAAAGAAGGUGAAACAGACAGGAGAUAUAUAUUGCCACGAUGGGCAGCUUCAAUUAUGUAAAAGUCACCAUGCUCUGCCUUCAUGCUCAUUACAGCCUGCUCAGACUCUGUCUGGAGGACAGUUCAGACUGGCAAAGCUGGGAUGGUGUACAUACUUCCAGCAUGGAUGUUCAUAGCCAAGGCAGUCUCACUGUGUCAGCCACCGAUUCAGUGUGUCUUCAUUCAUAAUGAGCUGUGACUGUAGCAGGAUCAGCACCCCCAGAUGUUGUUAAUGCAGUCCAGACUUUCAGUAGAGAGUUCAGUUUUCACUUUUUACCACAACUUUCUUCUGCAAUUCUAUUUCAUUUCUGUAUUUUUUCUACAAAGUCAUUUUUCUCUUUGUAAGAGCAUAAGAUGCCCUGUAUCAGAUUUGUCAGGGGUGUGUGGUACUUACACCACAACCUGGUCCCAGGAGCAGGGUUCACCUUUUGACCCAUCAUCUGGGCGCUAAUGUUUGCAGGAAAAGACCAUGAAUGUUUUCAUUGCUUCUCACGAACCCUAGGUACAGCUCAGCCAGACAGAAAAAGAAGCAGCACCCUGAUUUGAAAAAUUCCCAGUCUGAAGGUUAUGGAAAGAGGGAGAUUGUCUGCCUGUUACUAUGGCAACAUGUUUAAAAGGGAACGUGUCACCAGGCUGCUGUUUCUUCCUGCACCCCAUAGGAAAAUCAGGAUGAGACCUCCUCCAUCUCAGUGGGUUGAGCGGAGCAGAAAAGUUCACAAUACAAUGGCAAAACAGCAAGCAACAGCACCAAGGCGGUGCAGAAAAGAAGAUAAUGAUGAACUCCUAAUAGUAAAAGAAAUAAUUGUUUUGGUCAGACCAAGGAUGAAAUGUUGAAUUUUUUCGUGAAUCAAAAGGCUGCAAAGAACUGAUGCUGAAACAAACGACAAAAUCAAAUCAUUUUCUUCACUUCUGACAAUUUAAAGAUUUUAUUGAACGCUUUAAAAACAAAAUUAAAAGGUAUUUUGAAGUCGAAGGGCAUUUUAAAUUGAUCAUAUGUUCUCUGGCAAUAAUUGAUGCUUCUGAGAAUUAAUGCUUAGGUUAUUUCUUUCUCAAAAGCACACUCAACAAAUUAAGUCUUUAAUACAUACCCAUUUUUAUGGAGUAACAAAUAUUUCUGCGUGGAUAUAGAAAAAUAAGUUCUUGCAGUUUGCUUAGUAUUACAGAGGCUGGUAAACACCCUCUAUCAUGAAUAGUCAGAAAUAAAGUGCAAAUUAAGAGGAAUUUCAGAAACAAUAAGAGAAAAAAAAAAGCUCAAAAAUACCAACAUUCUUUCUGUUGUUUUUCAUCUAAUAAUCAAUGAAAUAUAUGUCUUACUAGAAAAGAAACCUCAGAGAUUUGGUAGUUUGGUUCAGCUGAAUAGUUGGUUCAACUGGUUUGGAUCCAUGGGAUUAAAUCUAGGUUCGACUGGCAUCCAUGGCAGGAUUCCAGCAGAGCCAGUUUCACCCCUCCAUUCCAUUCUCCUCCCAAAUGGGGACCCUUCUGGGCUCCUUGUACAAUUAUUCCAGCUAUUCCAGCAUGAGUUGGGACUUCUGUGAUACACGGUCUCAAUUAGAGGUGAUCCUCUUCAAGUGACAAGAUUCAUGGGUAAAUUAAACAAGAACUUUUCCUAGCAAAUGUUUAGGAUUAAUUUCAGCCUUUGUGGAGUUAAUGGGAGAUCUGUCGUUGCUAUCAAAGUAACAAGGAUUUCUCAAUUUUGUGCGUAGAUUCUUCUAUAAAUCUUUGAGCUCUACUACCCAAUUACUUUAGUUGUCUUUAAUUGCUGAGGUACAGCAAAACGAUUGUUAGAGUCUGAUGAGAAAAUGGCUGCACUUUUGGUGAUAGUAAGGGAAUCUGAUUGUCUCUUGUAUUUGACCUGAUAGCUACAAGCAGCAACACUUUCUUCUUUGGGAAAAGACUCUAUAAAGCCAGGUAGAAGAAGGAUCAAAAGAAGUUUAGUAGUGUUAGGCUGGCUUUUCUGGUCUGUAUUUGGAAUCAUUAUUACCAGUUUUCUUAGAGCCGAUUUUUAAAUAAUACUCACAUAAUGAAGCCAGAUUGACUACAUACUGCUGCAUUUUUCCAGGCUACAGCAUAAUGCAUACAUAUUGGUUAGUUUAGGUCAAUUAAGUUCUGAUAUUUUAUAUUUUUGUCAACAGCUUUGCUAAUCAGGCAGUCUGUGAGAAAAUGUCAGUAAUAAAUCAUUUUGUGAC